UACGUAGGGUGCGAGCGUUGUCCGGAAUCACUGGGCGUAAAGGGCGCGUAGGCGGCGCGGAUAGUCGGCGGUGAAAUCCCGAGGCUCAACCUCGGGUCUGCAGUCGAUACGAGCAAACUAGAGUGUUGCAGGGGAGACUGGAAUUCCUGGUGUAGCGGUGAAAUGCGCAGAUAUCAGGAGGAACACCGGUGGCGAAGGCGGGUCUCUGGGCAACAACUGACGCUGAGGAGCGAAAGCGUGGGGAGCGAACAGG
rnacentral:rRNA from 1 species